GCCCAGGUGGCGGAAUUGGUAGACGCGCUAGCUUCAGGUGCUAGUGGCCCUUGCGGCCGUGGAGGUUCGAGUCCUCUUCUGGGCACCA
rnacentral:tRNA from 1 species